rnacentral:ncRNA from 1 species
GUUAAAAGAUAACGCAGGUGUCCUAAGAUGAGCUCAACGAUAACAGAAAUCUCGUGUGGAACAAAAGGGUAAAAACUCGUUUGAUUCUGAUUUCUAGUACGAAUAUGAACCGUGGAAGCGUGGACUACUGAUCCUUUAGACCUUCAGAAUUUGAAGCUAGAGGUGUCAGAAAAGUUGCCACAAGGAUAACUGGCUUGUGGCAGCCAAGCGUUCAAAGCGACGUUGAUUUUCGAUCCUUCGAUGUCGGCUCUUCCUAUCAUUGUGAAGCAGAAUUCACCAAGUGUUGCAUGUCUAGUACCCAACAAUGAAUGAAUUGUCCCUGUCCCUCCCUUUUUGCAAUAAGAGCCUCCGGCACCUUUGGCCCCCGGUCGUGCGAUAGCCUCGUACACUAUCGGCAGCGUGUGCCAUCCCGUGGUGCGGGGCCAUCGUGCACCAUCGGCCCCUUUAAUGUGUCGGAGCAUUGGGCAACAUCGGUACCUUGGUGCAUCGGAUGUGCAGAAGGGUCGAGCACCAAAGCUAAUUUUGGGCCCCCGUUGGUGCAGAAGCUUCGGCACCAUAAAGUGUCCCUGUUUUAGACACAUGAAUGUCCCCUGGUAGCACAUUGACCAAGUUUUUUUAGCUCUUUAGGGGGGAGGUGAUUUUGAGGGGAAUAGGGGUUGUCCAAGGCACUGCCCACGCCCAUUUCAUGCCCAGACAUCGGUGCCCCCAUCGUCGGUUAGGUUUACGGCGGUGCUCCAGCGGUCUAUCCCGGUAGUGCUCUGGCGAGCCAUCUAGACGGUACUCCGGUGAGCCAUCCUAGAAUAUCAAAAAUGAUGCUUCAAGUCGUCCCAAUCCCUCCCUUUUUGAAUCAUCCAAGACCCUUUCCUUUUGGAAUAAGAGCCUCCGACACCUUCGGCCCUUGGUCGUGCCAGAGCAUCAGGCACCCUUGGUAACCUAGGACGUCGAUAGUGCGG